GAUGAACGCUGGCGGCGUGCCUAAUACAUGCAAGUCGAGCGAACAGAUGAGGAGCUUGCUCCUCUGACGUUAGCGGCGGACGGGUGAGUAACACGUGGAUAACCUACCUAUAAGACUGGGAUAACUUCGGGAAACCGGAGCUAAUACCGGAUAAUAUAUUGAACCGCAUGGUUCAAUAGCGAAAGACGGUUUUGCUGUCACUUAUAGAUGGAUCCGCGCCGCAUUAGCUAGUUGGUAAGGUAACGGCUUACCAAGGCAACGAUGCGUAGCCGACCUGAGAGGGUGAUCGGUCACACUGGAACUGAGACACGGUCCAGACUCCUACGGGAGGCAGCAGUAGGGAAUCUUCCGCAAUGGGCGAAAGCCUGACGGAGCAACGCCGCGUGAGUGAUGAAGGUCUUCGGAUCGUAAAACUCUGUUAUUAGGGAAGAACAAAUGUGUAAGUAACUAUGCACGUCUUGACGGUACCUAAUCAGAAAGCCACGGCUAACUACGUG
rnacentral:rRNA from 1 species